CUCGCCGAGGAGCGUUGCAUUGGGAAUCCCCAUCAGGCUCGGCAAUCAAAAACGACGCUCAUUUAUU
rnacentral:ncRNA from 2 species